GACGAACGCUGGCGGCGUGCUUAACACAUGCAAGUCGAACGAAGAGCGAUGGAAGCUUGCUUCUAUCAAUCUUAGUGGCGAACGGGUGAGUAACGCGUAAUCAACCUGCCCUUCAGAGGGGGACAACAGUUGGAAACGACUGCUAAUACCGCAUACGAUCUAACCUCGGCAUCGAGGAUAGAUGAAAGGUGGCCUCUAUUUAUAAGCUAUCACUGAAGGAGGGGAUUGCGUCUGAUUAGCUAGUUGGAGGGGUAACGGCCCACCAAGGCGAUGAUCAGUAGCCGGUCUGAGAGGAUGAACGGCCACAUUGGGACUGAGACACGGCCCAGACUCCUACGGGAGGCAGCAGUGGGGAAUCUUCCGCAAUGGACGAAAGUCUGACGGAGCAACGCCGCGUGAGUGACGACGGCCUUCGGGUU
rnacentral:rRNA from 1 species